GAACGCUAUUGAAGGUUUGAGCCAACAUGGCGGCUCGAGGGCUGUAGUUGCAGACACGCCCCCUGUGAGUCAGAGGGUUUUAGGAGCGCUACUGUAAUGACAGCUCAAAGCUGUCCACGUCAACACUGUGCUACCACCAUGGACUCCGCGGCUCUGGAACCCUCGCUGUACACCGUAAAGGCUGUCUUCAUCUUAGACAACGAUGGAAACAGACUGCUUUCAAAGUACUAUGAUCCAGAGCUCUACCCUUCCAUGAAAGAGCAGAAGAAUUUUGAAAAGAACGUCUUCAACAAAACACAUAAAGCUGACAAUGAGAUUGCCCUCUUAGAAGGGAUGACGAUAGUCUACAAGAGCAGCAUAGACUUGUUCUUCUAUGUAGUUGGCAGCGUUCAGGAGAAUGAGCUCAUGUUGAUGGCAGUGCUGAACUGCUUGUUUGAGUCUCUCAGCCUAAUGUUGAGGAAGAAUGUGGAGAAAAGGACUCUGCUGGAUAAUAUGGAUGGAGUGUUCCUAGUAGUGGAUGAAAUCAUCGAUGGAGGGGUGAUCCUGGAGAGUGACCCCCAACAGGUCAUUGAGAAGGUCAACUACAGGUGUGUGUCGGAGCAAGCGUAUGGCUUCGUCCUUUUUGAUUACAUCACUGGUAACGUGGAGGGCCAGGGAGAGAGACGGCAGCUACUGUAGCUCUCCUUCAGCCCCCCUCUCCCUCUGCUUUAGAGCCGGAGAGAGACGAGAGGGAGAGAGAGGGAUGAGGGUGAGAGAGUGGGCAGGCAGACGACAGCCCAUUAUCAGAACAGAGUGUGGCACAGGUGUUACAGUCAGCAAAGGAGCAGAUCAAGUGGUCAAUUCUAAAAUAAGCCAAAUACUUUCCAUGACCUGAAGGAAUCUGUAAAUUAUUGAAAGGGAAUUUCAUUUUUAUUUUUUAGCGAUAUGUAAUUUAAUUAAGUGGUGCGAUGAGGUACAUCUCAUGUUUAGUGCUGAAAUAUUUAUAUUUUUUGUCAAAAUUGGGUCAUUUAUGUUUCUUAAAUGAAAUGCAGAGGCAUAUUUGUUAACUGUCUGUGUACAAAUACCUGUCUAUUUCCAAAGCAGCUUUAAAGCAAUGUUUUUGUGUGUGUGUGUGUUUGUUUUAAUAUUUAUAUUGUUCUGUUUAGAGGAGGUACAGUCAUUUUUUCUUUCAGCAUGGCCUGUGAUAUAAAAAAAACAAAUCACAGAUCAUAACUUGAUUGUCGAAUCUUGUUUUAGUCUUGUUAUAUUUGUCGUUGUUGUUUUAUGACUGCUUUACAACCUUGUGUCGAAAAUAUAAUUCACAAUGUUCUGUUACAUAUUGGCUUAUAACUAAAUAUUUUGCUAUUUUAAAUACAUUUUGUUUAAAUGAGAGAAGGGCAAUUUUAUGAAUACAAUAAAUAUAAUACAAUGAAUAACAAUAAGUAAACAAAAUAUGUUUUAUGAAUAGGAUUUAUUUUCUAGUAAAAUAAAAUGUUUAAGCCUAUAUCUUCUGAAUUUAAUUUCUUUAAACCAUGCUUUUGGGAAAUAAUUACGGACGAACAUGUCACUAAAACCAAUAAAUAUGUUUUUAUAUUA